rnacentral:rRNA from 1 species
UACGGCUACCUUGUUACGACUUCACCCCAGUCGCUGACCUUACCGUGGCCUGCUGCCUCCUAAGUUAGCACACAGUCUUCGGGUAAAACCAACUCCCAUGGUGUGACGGGCGGUGUGUACAAGGCCCGGGAACGUAUUCACCGUGGCAUGCUGAUCCACGAUUACUAGCGAUUCCAACUUCAUGCUCUCGAGUUGCAGAGAACAAUCCGAACUGAGACGGCUUUUAGAGAUUAGCUCCUCAUCGCUGAGUGGCUGCUCACUGUCACCGCCAUUGUAGCACGUGUGUAGCCCGGCCCGUAAGGGCCAUGAUGAUUUGACGUCAUCCCCACCUUCCUCCGGCUUAUCACCGGCAGUCCCUCUAGAGUGCCCAACUUAAUGCUGGCAACUAAAAGCGAGGGUUGCGCUCGUUGCGGGACUUAACCCAACAUCUCACGACACGAGCUGACGACAACCAUGCAGCACCUGUAUCCAAUCCAGCCGAACUGAAGGAAAGCAUCUCUGCUAUCCGCGAUUGGUAUGUCAAGGGCCGGUAAGGUUCUUCGCGUUGCCUCGAAUUAAACCACAUGCUCCACCGCUUGUGCGGGCCCCCGUCAAUUCCUUUGAGUUUUAGUCUUGCGACCGUAGUCCCCAGGCGGGGUGCUUAACGCGUUAGCUGCGUCACCAAACAGCAUGCUGCCUGACAACUAGCACCCAUCGUUU